rnacentral:antisense_RNA from 3 species
UGCUAUGGCGGCUGUGCGCGGGAGACCCUCGGGUCUGCCGGGUUCCGUUUACUCCGGUUUUCCAGCCCGCGCACAGCUGCCACCCUU